GACGAACGCUGGCGGCGUGCUUAACACAUGCAAGUCGAACGGAAAGGCCCUGCUUUUGUGGGGUGCUCGAGUGGCGAAAGGGUGAGUAACACGUGAGUAACCUGCCCUUGACUUUGGGAUAACUUCAGGAAACUGGGGCUAAUACCGGAUAGGAGCUCCUGCUGCAUGGUGGGGGUUGGAAAGUUUCGGCGGUUGGGGAUGGACUCGCGGCUUAUCAGCUUGUUGGUGGGGUAGUGGCUUACCAAGGCUUUGACGGGUAGCCGGCCUGGGAGGGUGACCGGCCACAUUGGGACUGAGAUACGGCCCAGACUCCUACGGGAGGCAGCAGUGGGGAAUAUUGCACGAUGGGCGGAAGCCUGAUGCAGCAACGCCGCGUGCGGGAUGACGGCCGUCGGGGUGUAAACCGCUUGCGCCUGUGACGAAGCGUGAGUGACGGUAAUGGGUAAAGAAGCACCGGCUAACUACGUG
rnacentral:rRNA from 1 species